rnacentral:tRNA from 1 species
GUUAGGGUGGCAGAGCCAAGUAAUGCAAAAGACCUAAGAUCUUUAUCACAGAAGUUCAAAUCUUCUCCUUAACC